CUAUAUCGUAAUUCGAUUGCUGCUUACGUGCGGGGAAAUUAUGUUGGCAAUGAAUAGAACAGGUAAUGAUUUUAUC
rnacentral:tRNA from 1 species